rnacentral:ncRNA from 1 species
CCAUCACGACAGGGGAGCGCCCUACAGCGCUGAGAGUGCACCGCCGAACAUCGGCGAGCCGCAGACCCUCGAACCUGCUCCGGUUAGCACCGGCGAAGGAAGUCGGUAUUUCUCGAGG